rnacentral:rRNA from 1 species
UCUGGUAAUGAUGGCAGAGAGGUCACACCCGUUCCCAUACCGAACACGGAAGUUAAGCUCUCUAGCGCCGAUGGUAGUUGGGACCUUGUCCCUGUGAGAGUAGGACGUCGCCAAGN